UACGAAGGGGGGCUAGCGUUGCUCGGAGUCACUGGGCGUAAAGGGUGCGUAGGCGGGUCUUUUAAGUCAGGGGGUGAAAUCCUGGAGCUCAACUCCAGAACUGCCUUUGAUACUGAAGAUCUUGAGUUCGGGAGAGGUGAGUGGAACUGCGAGUGUAGAGGUGAAAUUCGUAGAUAUUCGCAAGAACACCAGUGGCGAAGGCGGCUCACUGGCCCGAUACUGACGCUGAGGCACGAAAGCGUGGGGAGCAAACAGG
rnacentral:rRNA from 1 species